rnacentral:rRNA from 1 species
AUUGAACGCUGGCGGCAUGCCUUACACAUGCAAGUCGAACGGCAGCACGGGUGCUUGCACCUGGUGGCGAGUGGCGAACGGGUGAGUAAUACAUCGGAACAUGUCCUGUAGUGGGGGAUAGCCCGGCGAAAGCCGGAUUAAUACCGCAUACGAUCUACGGAUGAAAGCGGGGGACCUUCGGGCCUCGCGCUAUCGGGUUGGCCGAUGGCUGAUUAGCUAGUUGGUGGGGUAAAGGCCUACCAAGGCGACGAUCAGUAGCUGGUCUGAGAGGACGACCAGCCACACUGGGACUGAGACACGGCCCAGACUCCUACGGGAGGCAGCAGUGGGGAAUUUUGGACAAUGGGCGAAAGCCUGAUCCAGCAAUGCCGCGUGUGUGAAGAAGGCCUUCGGGUUGUAAAGCACUUUUGUCCGGAAAGAAAUCCUUGGCCCUAAUACGGUCGGGGGAUGACGGUACCGGAAGAAUAAGCACCGGCUAACUACGUG